CAAUGCACAGGCAUACACACAUUUAGGGCUGAGCCCCACUGCACCCUUAGAGCUGCCCUCUGCCUCAGGAGGCCCUGGGUUCCUGAUGCUGCCAGGGAGAGCUGGAGGAGUAGAGAUGGUCCCAACUCCCUGCAGGAAGAGCAAAGAGCAAAGAGCGGCUGGUCUCUUUCUCCAACCAAAACCAUCUCCGGAUCUCCAGAAGCAGCCCAGCAGAGAGUCCCUCACCCCAGCUGGAGAGCAAAGCCACCAGCAACGAAACAGGCAAAUGAAAAUGGGCUCUGCCAGAGAAUUCUCCUCCUCUUAGCCCAUCCUUCACUGAGGUGCUCCCACCCUCUGGACCAGAAAGUGACUGUGUAAGAGGCAGGGAAAUAGUGGGGUGGACAGCUGAAACCUGCUACACCCUGAGGAAGAAAACCAUCUACGCAAGAAGUUUGGUGUCUGGAGCUAGGGGGCUUCCCACGUUCAGCUGGAAACAUACCGAGAUGUCAGGCCACUAGGGUGGAGUGUUCAGGGUCUGAGUCCAUUUUUAAGGAAGAGCAAGUGAUACUAAUUAUUCUUCUGGCUUCUUGGGGCCUGGCUCUCAGGCUCUCUCUCAGGGUAUUUCUGAUCCCUGUCUUGGAGAAAGAAUGCCCCUGUCACCUAAACUCUGUCUGCUAAGGGGCAGGAGUUUUAAUUGGUCAGCAGCACCCUCAUGUGGCAGAAACCAGGACUGCAGCUGCCCAAGUAGCCCAGCAACUUUGAGGUAUCAGACAUCCAGGUUGACAUUCAGUAGGCAGAAUUAUAAAUAUUGGUGCUCUCUGACUCAUCAAGGUACCCGUGCAUACUUACUGAUUGACCACUUCUGGGGACAUUUUAUGCUUUCCUAUCCUUCCAUCUACUGCAUCCUCUGACUCAAGGUAUAUGCCUAUCAGAGAAGGAGCACCUCACCCAGAGCUGACACUUAUUAGGGCUGCUGCUUGUGUUGUCUGGCUUGCAGGGGUGAAAGAGGCACUGCUGAGAGAGGAGGCCUAAGAGCAAAGGGUAAGCUGAUGUCAUAUCUGAUGGCAGAAGAGGCUCUGGCACCCUGCCAAUUUUCUACAAGUGCCAGACAAGAGUUACCACCUGAAUUCCAGAGACUAUCACCUAGUGGUGGGUUUCUGCUGUACAGAAAUCCAUUCUUACUCCCUAGGGAGGUCUGGGAAUGAACAGGGACAGAUUAUCAGAGCCUGAGAUCCUUGUCCUUGAGAAUAGACACCAGAUAAACACUUUUCCCUCAAAAGAUCCAGGUAUUCUCCAAGGAUGCCAGGCCACUGGGCAGAAUGUACAUCUGGGGCUUUAGACUUCUGGCCCCAAGAGAAAUGCUACCUGUCAUUGGACCCUUACCCUCCAUGUGAAAUCUCAUCUGUUUACUGGUCCCUUCUUCCCACACCCACUAAAUGGGGGAAAUGGUUCUGUACUGUAGAAAGGGCUGGAUAUUUAACAUCAGCAAGAUCUUGCUAAAGAUUAAAGCUGAAAGUCACAAGGCAGAGAACAUCAGAGAGAAAUACUCCCAGAGAGAAAUAUAACCCUGUUUGGGGUUGGUGGGUACAGAGAGGCAAACCUACCU